ACAUGUGAAUUCUUAUCCUCUCGUUUCGAUCCCCAUAGUCUGACUCCUACGUUCAAAGUUCCAUCGAAACCAGAAACAUCAAUCACCAUAAUUAUGUUCACCUCCAUCAUCAUCUUCGUCCUCGUUUCGAGAUGCUCACGGAAGCCAUGAACAAGUCCGUACGCAAAUCCGAGCUCGCUUCACCAAGUGGAAUCCAUCAUUCAUCUUCUCCAAAUCAACGAAUCUACAUCAAUGCCUAGGUCCUCGGCAUCUUGCGAUCAUACACGGAAUCCAGACGACUAGACCGUUGAACGUGUUCACGAGACUCAGCUUGAUAAGAUAAGCGAGAAGCAUGAGAAAACUUACCAAAUCGUGACUCCGAAGCGGUUGCUCCGUCGAGGAUAAUGAUUUGAAAAGGAUGAGCUUGAAUUUGGUUCGUUUUUGAAGAUGAUGAUUGAAGAAGAUUGAAGAAGGUUUGAGGGAGAGUGAAGAAGAUGAAGGUUGAAGAUUGGAGAAGAUUGAAGAGUUGAAGAAGGAGAUGGGAGAAUCGAAAUUCUGCAGAAUGAGAAAUUGCAGAAAAAAAGCCUCCAACUUAAUGCAGCAAGUGGGGUCUUUUGAUUAGAAAUUAAACAAGUAUGUGCAAUUUGAGAAGGGUAUGUGCAAGGUUGUUAGUGUCGGUUAAUGAGUCCCUUUUAACCGAAGGUGCUACUGAAUCAUAAAUGGUGCUAAAUGUUGAAUUUGAUUUUAGUUUCACAUGAGGGAUCCAAUAUAACUUGUGGCUUUGUUUGGAAUUGAGGAUUUACUAAUAUCUUCAUCACGUUAUAGCCUAGUCCUUGGGGUUGAGAGGUUAUUUCUGCCACACUCAUGCAUACUGAGCAAAUUCCGAACGCGAGAUGAUGAAUCGAACUUCUGCCAAGAACGUCUGCUCUGAUUUCAGUUCUUAAGAUUGGUAUUUAGAUUUCCUGGUAUACUUUGGACCACAAGCCAACCUAGAUUCCAACAAUGUAUUGACCAAGGAAACUUGUGUAUGCGACGCUCACUUUAACGAUCAUGAUGCACAUUUACUAUUCCAACUGUUUUGAACUUCACAAAUGAGUAUGACAGCAUCUGAACUAGUGCAAGUUUUAGAUGAUAUUGACAACACAAGUGUUUGUUUACAGGGUUAAUGACACAUGUUCUGUGGUGUGGUAGCAUAGGCAUGCUAGUUUUAAUCUUUUCUUUGACAAUUAAUUCCGACUGAGCUGGUUAGAGGGUCUAUGAUGCAUAAUAAGUUCUGCAGGAAAUGACAGAUGAAGAAGUAAUUCUAACUAUUGACGAAACUCAGAUAGUGGAACAAAAACAUCAAUUCCAAAGAGUACAACCAUCUUGGUUGUUAGGAACGACGAGCAUUAGCAGAUGCUGCUGUACAUUGAGUCGGAAUAUGCAACAAUAGAAAGAAGCUUGGUUCAACAAAGAUUGUGAUUGCUUCCGAGGAUUAAUGCAUGUUGGCCUACUCAACUGAAAUCCUAAUGAUGUUAAAGCCUCUCCACACAACUACCGAUUAUUAUUGCAAUUGGAAAAGGAUAACAAAAUGAUGGUGACCCUGUAGAGGUCGCAGCAGCGACCGUGAAACUAUGAUGAUUCGGAAUUUGGAAUGGCGACCCUGAUGUGGGGUUGUUAGCUUAUCAUAUAACUUAAAAAUUGUAACGAACUCAGCUUGUAGUCAAAGUUAAGAAGAAAUUGGCUUGUGGUUGGACAUUAUUGAUUAAAGUUAAGAAUUGAUUUUGUAGAUAAAAGUUAAGAAUUGGUUUUGUAGAUUGAAAGUUUUAGAAUUUUGUAAAUGGAAACUUGUAUUGAAUCAUGAAAGUGUACUAAAUGUAAAUUUGUUUGUAUGGAUAUUAAUUUUUUAAAUGGAUACUGGGUUGAUAUUGGUUA